AUGUCUGCAGGGAGGUGCUUGCUUCUCACUCACCUGGAACAUUCCUGGAACAAAUGCAGUAGGCACCUGCCUGGUCUCCCUGCCUUCGCGUGCUCCAUCCUAGAGAACUUCAUCUCCAAAAGGAAUCUAGAUGGUGCAUUCCCUAUGACUGGAACUACUGUGAACGUGCCCCCAUUCCUUUCAUCCUGCAAGAUCUUGAAUCUGCAAAAUGAACAACAUUGAUGCCAGUACAAGAUGCAAGACUAUAUGGUCAAGCACGGUUCUGAACCUGUCUCCUACCCCUUGUCCUCAGCUGCUCUUCCUGCCUCCACAAACUGUCCACUGUGUGUCCAGCCUUACAGAUCUCAUCGCUUUCCUUCGGUCACGUGGUUACUCUUUGUCCUGGAUCUUCUUCUAACUACUUCACAUUCUCUCAGUGGUUAGAACAGAAACGAUCCAGCUGAGAACUGCUGGAUCACUAGACCAUCAGACAACGUGGUAUCAUUUCUCCCCGGUUCUUCCUCCAGCUAUGAAACAACCUUCCCCAUUCAGAGCUGCCCCAGUCCUAACGCCUUCUUCAGGUGUCUUGUCUGCCU
rnacentral:lncRNA from 1 species